rnacentral:tRNA from 1 species
CCUGGUGGCUCAGAUGGUAAAGCGUCUGCCUGCAAUGCGGGAGACCUGGGUUCAAUCCCUGGGUCAGGA